rnacentral:tRNA from 1 species
CGGGGUGCAGCUCAGUGGUGGUAUGCAUGCUUAGCAUGCAUGAGGCCCUGGGUUUGAUCCCCAGCACUCCAA